AGAGUUUGAUCAUGGCUCAGGAUGAACGCUGGCGGCGUGCCUAAUACAUGCAAGUCGAACGAGGUGCUUUUGUAGCAAUACGAGAGUAUCCUAGUGGCGAACGGGUGAGUAACGCGUUGGUGACCUACCCCAAAGUGUGGGAUAACAGUCCGAAAGGAUUGCUAAUACCGCAUGUGGUCAUUGGAUUUAGAAACUGAUGACUAAAGGAGCAAUUCGCUUUGGGAGGGACCUGCGUCCCAUCAGCUAGUUGGUGAGGUAACGGCUCACCAAGGCUACGACGGGUAGGGGACCUGAGAGGGUGACCCCCCACAAUGGAACUGAAACACGGUCCAUACACCUACGGGUGGCAGCAGUAGGGAAUAUUGCACAAUGGGCGAAAGCCUGAUGCAGCAACGCCGCGUGUGUGAUGAAGGCCUUCGGGUCGUAAAGCACUUUUCUGGGAGAUGAGAAAGGACAGUAUCCCAGGAAUAAGUCUCGGCUAACUACGUGCCAGCAGCCGCGGUAAUAC
rnacentral:rRNA from 1 species